UACAGAGGUCUCAAGCGUUGUUCGGAUUCAUUGGGCGUAAAGGGCGCGUAGGCGGCGGGGUAAGUCGGGUGUGAAAUCUCAGAGCUCAACUCUGAAACUGCACUCGAUACUGCUUUGCUAGAGGACUGGAGAGGAGAGUGGAAUUCCUGGUGUAGCGGUGAAAUGCGCAGAUAUCAGGAAGAACACCCGUGGCGAAAGCGGCUCUCUGGGACGGUACUGACGCUGAGACGCGAAAGCGUGGGGAGCGAACAGG
rnacentral:rRNA from 1 species